CUUCCUUGGGUUAUUAACACUACGGUCAACAUCAUCAUCUCUACCGUGGACUACCUUCUGAGAGUUCAGGAAUCGAUCAGUGAUUUCUACUGGUACUAUUCGGGAAAGGACGUCAUUGAUGAACAAGGACAGCGCAAUUUCUCCAAGGCAAUUAACGUGGCGAAACAGGUCUUCAAUACUCUCACAGAGUACAUACAGGGACCGUGUACUGGGAACCAGCAGAGUCUAGCUCACAG